rnacentral:rRNA from 1 species
UGGGGAAUAUUGGACAAUGGGCGAAAGCCUGAUCCAGCCAUGCCGCGUGUGUGAAGAAGGUCUUCGGAUUGUAAAGCACUUUAAGUUGGGAGGAAGGGCAUUAACCUAAUACGUUAGUGUUUUGACGUUACCGACAGAAUAAGCACCGGCUAACUCUGUGCCAGCAGCCGCGGUAAUACAGAGGGUGCAAGCGUUAAUCGGAAUUACUGGGCGUAAAGCGCGCGUAGGUGGUUUGUUAAGUUGGAUGUGAAAUCCCCGGGCUCAACCUGGGAACUGCAUUCAAAACUGACUGACUAGAGUAUGGUAGAGGGUGGGGGAAUUUCCUGUGUAGCGGUGAAAUGCGUAGAUAUAGGAAGGAACACCAGUGGCGAAGGCGACCACCUGGACUAAUACUGACACUGAGGUGCGAAAGCGUGGGGAGCAAACA